rnacentral:sRNA from 1 species
UUUAGAAAUAAUAACUUGACCGUUUUAGAAUCCGUAGACCCGUGAGAUUAUUAAGUGGAUCAAAUUCUAUGAUUAUAUUUUUCUAUGACAUAUUAAUGUGGUUGUUACACUUUUGAAUGUGACAACUUAUGAGUGUAGUCUCCAAUUAAUAGUAUAGGAUUUACUACCCAAACCGCACAAUUAUUUGAAAUUUAUACAUGAACUUGAUAAUUAGUGUAAAAAUCAGAUUCAAACUAACAUGUGUUAGUCAACAUCGUUACAAAUCUGACUCAGCAAACAUGUGGAUUAUGAAGUGUAUAUAAACGACGUUGUUUUGCAUUUUUGGAGUUAAAAUCUUAAAAUAAAAUUGCAAAACAAGGAUUUCGAAUCUUCGACCUUGUCCCUUUUAAAGGUGGUACAUAUAUAACCAUUUGUUCUCAAAACCUUCAUUGAGACUUACCCAAGGAUGUGAAUUUAUAAACAUUAACGGUUUUGGGUUUUCAAACUAACAAAACAACGUAGCUGCGAAUUGGGGAAAAAUAAUCCAAAUCUAGGGUUUCAAAUUGAAAACAAUUUCUCAUUUCUUCUUCUUCUCUAAAAUAGAACAGAGAGCGACAAACAAGGAAAUAUUGAGAAUAGAGAGCUAAAGAGAUACAUUGAGAAGAAGAUAUCGUCAUUUUUCAAAAACAAAGUGAUUCCUACUUAUCCAGAUAUACCAGAUUAUCCAUGGAAAGAGUUUUAAAACCUCCUCUCCUAAUCUGAAUUCCCGGCCUCUCCAAAAAAUGAAGUCAAAAUUAUAAAACAGGGAAUUUCUAGGGAAAAUAUUCCAUGAAGAAGGAAUAGGCGAAAGAGCCUAAAUCUGUCUCGAUGGUGUAAUGGAAAAGAAUUAAAGAAAAUCUUCCGAGAAUAUCGCUGGGGAGGGGGUCUACCAUCUCUAUAUAAAGCGAUCCAAAGACUUCAUAGCAACGGAGAAGAAAACGCUUUCAACUUCGGACAACGCAAUAGCUCCGACUUUGAAGGCAAAAAUACUUUUUCUAUUUCAAAUCUAAACACUUGUAUGAUCAAACACUCUUUUCAUUAAUAAUAUCUAGAACACCAUCUUUGGUUCACUAUCAUCUUCUGAUGUUCUUUGAGAUUCUCGAGAAGUUUCUUUCCUCAAACGAACCUAAGUAUAAAUUUGAUUAUGUAAGUUUUGGCUUUCACAAAGACAAUUGUGCGUUUUCUAUUUGAUAUAAUGCAUAUAUUUUUCUUGAUAUAUAAGUUUUAUCUAAUCUGCUUUAAAAUAGAUUGAAUAUUAUAGAAUUAGCUUUAAGAUAAUGAUAGAUAUAGUUUUUUGUUUGUUUCUUUUUGUGCACUAUGAGAUAUAUACUUAAAUUUUAUUGAUAACGUGUGUUGUUGAUAAGAAUGUUAGUAUAUUUAGAUGUGUCUAUUAUUUUAUAAAUUCUAUCUCAUUUAAAGUAAGUUUUCAGGAGAGAAAAUUUGUACUUAUGUGAUUAUGACAUUGAGGAAAAUAAUAUUUAGGAAAUAGUUGGAUUUUCAAAAUAAAUUGUAAGUUUUUUCUAAUUUUUUUUUUUUUUAAUCUUA